rnacentral:lncRNA from 1 species
GACGGAGGAGACUUAGCACCGAGUCUCACUCCUGGACGCUGGGCCACCCCACCCCACCUCCCGGGGCAACUUGGCGACCACCGGUGCCCAGCUUACGCCGGCAUGCUGGCCGAACACAGUGUAGUGAUUGUGAGAUCUGGGCUGUUGGAUGCCGGGUGGAGGCCCGAGGAAGACAAGGAGCCUGUGGGCCUCACCCUGUCACCCAUGAUAAGAGAAUGGGCAUUGCUGUCUCAGCCUGGGGAAGACUUGCCCCUCUGCUCCUAGGGGAAGCCAGAGCCACAUAAGGGAACAAACACGGCCAUUCCAGGUAGGCAAGAGUCACCCAUGCUCAGUGCACACCAG